rnacentral:misc_RNA from 1 species
GAUGAAGAACGCAGCGAAAUGCGAUACGUAAUGUGAAUUGCAGAAUUCAGUGAAUCAUCGAGUCUUUGAACGCACAUUGCGCCCAUUGGUAUUCCGUUGGGCAUGUCUGUUUGAGCGUCAUUACAACAGUUCAGCGUAAGCUGGUUAUGAGUUCUGUUUUUUUAAACAAAAAACAGGCUUUAAAAUGUAUGUUCUGCAGGUCGCUUUGCUAAACCCUAAACAUUAAAUACUGUUCUAGUGAAGCAUUUGCGACUCUGCCUGAAAAAAAACUUUUGUUAAAGUUUGACCUCAGAUCAGACAAGGAUACCCGCUGAACUUAAGCAUAUCAAUAAGCGGAGGA